AUACGGAGGAUGCAAGCGUUAUCCGGAUUUAUUGGGUUUAAAGGGUGCGUAGGCGGUUUGCUAAGCGGGAGGUGAAAUGCCGGCGCUCAACGUCGGAAGUGCCUCCCGAACUGGUGGACUUGAAUGACUCUGCCGUGGGAGGAAUGCGUAGUGUAGCGGUGAAAUGCUUAGAGAUUACACAGAACACCGAUUGCGAAGGCAUCUCACGAAGGGUUGAUUGACGCUGAGGCACGAAAGCGUGGGGAUCAAACAGGAUUAGAUACCCUGGUAGUCCACGCAGUAAACGAUGAUGGCUAACCGCUGGUUUAUUCGGAUCAGUGGCCAAGCGAAAGCGAUAAGCCAUCCACGUGGGGAGUACGACCGCAAGGUUGAAACUCAAAUGAAUUGGCGGGG
rnacentral:rRNA from 1 species